UUUUUUUUUUUUUUAGUCUCUGCUGCUGCCUGAUUGUGUACUUCCAGUUCCAAAGGAGGUGUGUGGUUGACCGGUCCGUUCGUAACUCUGGGGUUUGUAACUCUGAGGUUCUGCUGUAUAAUCUAUUUGUAGCUCAUCUAGCUCCAGUGUUCAGAAAAACAAGACAAUUACCAAAAGUCAUUCUUAUUCAAUAAAAACAUCCACCUAGACCCAAUUUCAUGAUUCCCAACAGAGCAUCUUUGAUUAUGCUGUGGGCACUAUUGCUCACCUUAAAUACACUGAAGAUAUAAGUAUUCUUAUUGACAACAUGGCCAACAUGGUCAAUACAAAGCUACGGGCUGUUGUCUCAGAGAAUACCAGUAAUGCCUGUUUUUUGUAAUUGUUACUGUAGGGAAAGUUUAACAUUCCUGCUGUUCACCCAGCCAAGAUAUUUCAAUAACAAUUUUAAAACAAAAGAAAAAUAUCUGCAACAUAUAUAUAGGCACGAAAAGUAACUGGAUACUUUGACAAAAUCCUCCCCUCCCCUCAACAGGCAGUUGGGAUUUUUUUUUUUUUUUUUAAUAACUAAAAUGUGUCAGGAUAAAGCCUGUUGUGAGAGGCCUGGGGACCCUGUGCUUGGGGGGGCGGGGGUAGGAAGCCGCCUUUAUCUGCACACCUGUGCAGCAGCAGGUUGGGAUUCAUUGUGAGCACUCUCCUGGUGCACAGCUGCAUCAAGAGGACCUGGUCUGUUGGCUUGAAAUAGGACUAGAAGCCUGGGCUGUCCUCUGGUGCAGCAGCACUAAAGCACAUGCUCCUGUCACCUUGCCCCAUCCAGGCCCGGUGGACACAGGAUCUCUCAGUGGUGCCUUCGAGGCCAGCACAUUCCACUUUCUCCCGGGUGUGGCCAUUAUGAGGGAGGGCAGGAUUUUGCCCAUAAUGUUCAGAGCUUUAGCACCCGGCUAAUUUAUAUUAAGUAGUGGGAGACAAAAUGUGGAUUUCCAAAGUCUGCAAAUCAGCAAGUAAGCAAACAAAUAUGACUGAAAAGAAUGACAAUUGCUGUAUCAGAGAGUGUACCUGGCUCGCUUAUUUUGACCAGUGUCGUUUAGGUUUUUUUUUUUUUUUUUUUUUUUUUUUUACAGUAUUGCAUAUAGAUGCCAUGGUAAUGGACAGGGUCUGUGAAUGUGAAGGCAACAAGUAUAUUGUGUAAAAGUAAUGAGGGCUCGCUACAGCAUCGCCUAUUCAAUCUUGCUCAUUAAGUGGGACGAGACAACCUGGUUUUGUGUAGAAAACCACCAUGGCUGUGGAUUAGCAUGAUAAGCAUUAGACAGGAGCUGCUGUAGUUACAGUAAAGAGGAACAUUGAGACACCAAUAGUUGUAAAUUGUUUAAUUACAAAAAAAUGUAUGAGCAUGUGUGUGUAUAUACUAUAGUACAUUAAGGAUUUGUUUUAGCCUCUUGGCUUCAGAUAUAGGCAUGCAUUCCUGUCAACUCAACAGGAGUGCGAGAUUACAUGUUAGAGCAGUCUUGUAUAUAAAACUGCUUUAUUUGCAAAUAAGGAGCACCAUAUGCUUUGUGAAGGCUUUCCAUGCACUGGCUAUACUUGUUCUCAAAACUUGUCUUGUGGCAAUGUGUAAUCUAUCUCUUUCAUACAAUAUUUCAACAUGGCUGCAUGCAGUAUAUCUUCGCCUAUAUUAAUAUGUUGCUAUAUGUAAUUACCAUCUGCGUAACACUAAAGAAAAGGAAGAAUGAGGCUUGCCUUUAAAAAUUCUCAGAUUUAGCUCUAAUGUUACAGUGUGUAUUGUACUGUCCUAUUACAUGUUCUAUUCAGAAUUUUUCUUUGUGAUGCAUUAUGUAUAAAAUGCCAAUUAUUUAACAUGCAGUCCUCUUUUUUGUUAUGGCAGGAAACAGAUGUCUGUGUGCUUUUCGCCGAGUUGCAUUAAGAUCUUCCAUUGCUUUCACUUGCACUUCCAUGCAUGCUUCUUUUUGAGCACGUCCAGAUUUCCACCACAAGUGGGAGUACAUAUGGCCCUUGAACUAGGAAUAUUCCUCACUGCUCUUCUGAGAGGCUCUGUUGAGAAGCUGUAUCCUCCAGUGCCAUAUCCUCCUGGCUGGCUCUUCUACACUCCAGAUUAUGACUUUCAAAAAUGGCAUGGGCAGGACCUAGGUCUUUUCGCUGUCUAGAUUUUGUAGCAUCAGUCACUUCAUAAGUCUCGGAGAACUGCUUAAAACAAAAUGUAGAAUAGUUUAGGAAAUGUCUAGAUGGCACUUCAUUUGGUUCUUUUCAAAAGGACAUUUUGAAACAAAAACAGACAGAUUUCUGGACUUCAUACAGUUUUGUGUAAUUUUGUAUGAUUCACAUUUAUUUAUAUCGUGAACUUCAGGGGCUAAAAAGGAACUAGAGAAGACCCCGGCACUUGUCCCUCUUCAUGUGAUAACAGCAUAGUACUGCCUGCAAGAACAGACUACCAGAUAGAGAUUGUGCAGUUAUACCUACACUGUACUGUGCCUGAUCAUGUUAAGGCUGAAAAGGAUGCCCCAAAUUAUCCCUAAAUGUAAUGAGUCUAAUUCUGCUCCAAAUUCACUAGAAGACAUCCUGUGCUAAAGCAGCAGGUUUAAAUAAAAGCCUUAUUUCACAUCACACGCUGGCAUGUAGCCACAUUGACUGCAAGAGCUCGCUUAGUGGCUGGCCACGCAAAGUGCUCAGCUUAGCUCUCAUGACUUCAAAGGGAGUUGAGAAUGGUUGGCAGGAUCCAGACCUUAGACUGUAAACUCUUUGGGCAGGGGUUGUGUCUUACCUGUUUGUGCAGUGCCUUGCAUGUCUAUUGGUGUUGUAGAAAGACAAAAAAUAAUACUCGCAUAAGUAAGGCAAGCAGUAGGCCCUUGGUGAAUAAUGCUCAGACCAGCUGCUGCUGGAGAUCAUGGCAAAACGCAUUGCCUGAUCAUUCCAUGAUGCGGUUAGGAUGAAACUAACUUCAGGCGUGGACAACCUGGGUGUCUUCUGGAUUAAUAAAUUUUUAUGCUGUGUACAUGAGAAACCAGACUUGGGCUAUCUAUAUCCAAUGAUUUUGUCCUAAUGACAACAAAUCAACUUACUUGGUUCCAUUUGGUAAUGCCAAAUGAUUUAAUGUUAAUUAUGCCCUCAAUCUCUCAUUGGAUUUGCCAAACCGCUUCACGUCUAAGGACUGUGAUUUUAUUUUACCAGUCUGGAGGGUCUGUAUUGAAGAUGAUGGACUUCAGGAAGGAGACUGGCUGGAAUCAAAAGUUAAAUCAUACACCCAAGUAGCCAACCAAACAAAAUACUAAAGUGCACACACACAUUUUCCCUGGGGAGAGACUGAGAGAAAGAAAGAAUAAACUCAUGUGACAGAUGUUGGUCACAUUGCUUAAUGCACUCCUGGCAGACGCUUGAAUACGACAGUGGUGAGGGCAGCAUAAGAACAUGAGUAGAAUAGAACAGAAUUAUAGCUCCUGCUAACAUGUCUCUGCCUUACCCGUGUUGCUUGGCUCCCAGCUCUAGCAGAUGGACCCAUAGUAAUGUUGACACUGCUGGAUGACUGGGUAUCAGUUGUGUUUCCUCCAUCAGCAGCUGAGAGACCAGAAAUAACCAAAGCACUUGAAAAACUUCUCUUGCCAAACAGAAGGCUGAGAGUAGAGCUGGUGGAAGAGGCCAGACUGGACCUGAGCAUUGCUCCAGCUCUAUCCUGGACAGUCAACUGGCCGCCAGCAGGAAUGGCAGGAGUUUGAGAAAACACAGAUGUUACAGAGUUGUGGAAGGACAAUUGGCUUCUGGAAAGCCUUUGGACAAUUUCAUGGGCAGAUGUGGAAGCUUGGAUAAUGGGCUGGUAACUUUCAACAAUUGGUUCAGAAUGACUUGAAACAGGUGGCCUCUGGUUGAAGGCAGCAUGUGUCUGAACAGACUGACUCCUGAAUUUUCUUCUGCCUUUAAAAGAGAGUAAUAGUUUUAUUUUAAAUUAUGUUUUCAGUUACAUACCAUCAAAGCACACAUAUUACUGUUCUAUCCUUUUACUAGGGUAUAUUUUACAUAGUGUUCUUUAUCACACAUACACUUUUAUACUGUGGAUCUAAACACUUUAAAAACAAACAUUCAGCGAAUCAAAGAAAUUAGAGAUUGAUAAACCUAUGAAGUCAUUUGGUUCAUCCCACUGGCAGUGCAGAAUGUUUCAAAUCUUCUAGUGUCUUUGAUGGGAGCAGAAUUUGACCCUUUGUGAGGAACAUAAAUAAUAUAAUUAUUAAAUCCAUUUCACAGAUGAAUAAAUGGAGAAACAGAGAGUGAGAUUCCCAAAGAAACUUGGGUGUGGUGAUGCUGGGUGUCACCAUACCUAACUUUCAGGUGUCUAGAAAAUCACUGUAAUCCACAAAGCCAGAGUUUGAUGCUCAGGCUCCCAAAACAAUGAAUACGGUGCUUCAGCAUGGUAUUCACAAAAGCCAGCAUGCUAGGUGGCUCCUCACCUAAGCUAGCCAAUGGGAAAUGCCAAAGCAAAGGCUGUAUCCUAAGCCCACCCCUCUCAGGGAGUUUGGUGCCUUAGGGCUGCAGGGAGGUAUCUUCCUCUGCUUGGGAUUCUCAGCUACAAACCUUCUCUUGGUGUUAGGUGCCUCCACCAUUUCUACCAGAAGUGGAGGAGGAGGCUGUCCCUCAACUUUUAGCCCAGCUGUUAGAGUACUUACCUAGGCUGUUGGAGACCCUUAGGAUAUGAGGGGAUUUGAUCAGGGAUCUACCACCGCUCCGAUGCAUGCCCUAACCACUGAGGUAUGGGAUAUUCUGAUGUGGGGCUCCCUCAGUUUCUCUUGUUGAAGCUGUUCUACUGUGGAACUCUUAAGUACCUAAAUCCUUUUUUGAAAAUGAGAUUUAGGCUCCUAAAUCAGUCGGGCAUUGCAACGCUGAGCACAGCAACAUCCCAAUACCUCUAAAAAACUCAGACCGAGGGCCUUAGAAAAUCCUACUCCUAAAGCUUUAUAUAGUUUAAUUGCAAAAAAUUGCAAAUGAAAAUAAAGUAAGGUUACACAGAAUUACCCUUGCGCUUGGGGACUAGGAAUGUGAAGACGCUUCCACCUCAGUGUCAGAGGGCAGAGUAUUUAUGACAAAGGAAGUUGUCUGAGGCCAAGAAUUUAA